GCCAGAGGUGGUAGUGUCAGCCUGUAGUCCUAGCUACUCAGGAGGCUGAAACAGGAGGAUCACUUGAGUCCAGGAGUUGUGGGCUGUAAUGUGCUAUACUGAUGGAGUGUUCUCACUAAGUUCAGUAUCAAUAUGGUGACCUCCUGGAAGUGGGGAACCACUAGGUCACCAAAUGGAUGGGUGAACCAGCCUAAGUCAAAACUCCCAUGCUGAUCAGUAGUGGGAUCAUGCCUGUGAAUAGCCACUGCACUCGAGCAUGGGCAACACAGUGAGACCUUCUCUCU
rnacentral:SRP_RNA from 1 species